AGAGUUUGAUCCUGGCUCAGGAUGAACGCUAGCUACAGGCUUAACACAUGCAAGUCGAGGGGCAGCAUGGAAGAAGCUUGCUUCUUCUGAUGGCGACCGGCGCACGGGUGCGUAACGCGUAUCAAACCUGCCUCAUACUCGGGGAUAGCCUUGCGAAAGUAAGAUUAAUACCCGAUGUUGUUAUGUUUCCGCAUGGUGAUAUAACCAAAGAUUUAUCGGUAUGAGAUGGUGAUGCGUCCGAUUAGGUAGUAGGCGGGGUAACGGCCCACCUAGCCAUCGAUCGGUAGGGGUUCUGAGAGGAAGGUCCCCCACACUGGAACUGAGACACGGUCCAGACUCCUACGGGAGGCAGCAGUGAGGAAUAUUGGUCAAUGGACGGAAGUCUGAACCAGCCAAGUAGCGUGCAGGAUGACGGCCCUCCGGGUUGUAAACUGCUUUUAGUUGGGAAUAAAAAGAGGGACGUGUCCCUAAUUGUAUGUACCUUCAGAAAAAGGACCGGCUAAUUCCGUGCCAGCAGCCGCGGUAAUACGGAAGGUCCAGGCGUUAUCCGGAUUUAUUGGGUUUAAAGGGAGCGUAGGCGGACUGUUAAGUCAGCGGUUAAAGAGUGUGGCUCAACCAUACGAUGCCGUUGAAACUGGUGGUCUUGAGUGCACACAGGGAUGCUGGAACUCGUGGUGUAGCGGUGAAAUGCUUAGAUAUCACGAUGAACUCCGAUCGCGAAGGCAGGUGUCCGGGCUGCAACUGACGCUGAGGCUCGAAAGUGUGGGUAUCAAACAGGAUUAGAUACCCUGGUAGUCCACACAGUAAACGAUGAAUACUCGCAGUUUGCGAUACACUGUAAGCUGCCAAGCGAAAGCAUUAAGUAUUCCACCUGGGGAGUACGCCGGCAACGGUGAAACUCAAAGGAAUUGACGGGGGCCCGCACAAGCGGAGGAACAUGUGGUUUAA
rnacentral:rRNA from 1 species